rnacentral:tRNA from 1 species
GGACCCGUAGUGUAGCCCGGUUUAACACGCUUCCCUGUCACGGAAGAGAUCGCCGGUUCAAAUCCGGUCGGGUCCGCAA